rnacentral:sRNA from 1 species
CUGCCUAUCAACAGGGACCUAGCCAACU